AAAAUUUUUCGAAAGAAAAAAAUCUGUUCUUAUCAGUUUAAUAUCUGAUACGUCUCCUACCCGGGGACUACAUAUUAAAUUGAUUUUUGGAUCACGGAGCUGGAGCCGGGGCUUGCUCUGUCCACUCCACGCAUCGGCCUGGUAUUGCCCACGCAUCGGCCUGGUAUUGCAGUGUCUCCAGGAACGGUGUGCUUCCC
rnacentral:snRNA from 1 species